CUGCCCUUCCUAAAGGCAGAGGAAGGAAUGCCGUGUCUCCCAGGAUCCUUAGCUCAGCCCUGGUUUUAACUGGUCACAUGUGCCCACAGCAGCCCACGGCAUGGGGGCUCCGGUUCUUAAGAUGGCCUCCACACCACCUAACACUUAACAGUAAAUGGGACCCACAGUAAGUGGAGGUGCAUCCACCCAUGUCUGUGUUCUUUGUUCCAGGGGCCCCGGCAGGAGUCUUACCUGGGGAGAAGGUUGGCUUUCUUCCUGGCAGCACCCUGUGUGAUUUCCAGGAAUGAAUCUCCCACCACAUUCGCGGCAGCUCCAGGCUGUGUCCUCUGAUACUGACAUCACAGACAACCCGGGCCCUCUUUGUGGAUGUAAAGAUAAAAGCAUGCUUGCUAUUCCGGCACCCAGACUUGGGGAAGGAACACAGAGCUGUACCACAUAACCUGUUUUGUUACUGAAAGAAUUUCUCCUUGAAAACUUAUUUGGCUAACAAUAAGAACUGAGAGAGAAGAAAACAAUGCAGUCCGUGAGCCUGACCUGGAAU
rnacentral:lncRNA from 1 species